ACGUAAUAGAUACCCUGGUAGUCCACGCCCUAAACGAUGUCUACUAGUUGUUGGUGGAGUAAAAUCCAUGAGUAAACGCAGCUAAACGCGUGAAGUAGACCGCCUGGGGAGUACGGUCGCAAGAUUAAAACUCAAAUGAAUUGACGGGGGCCCGCACAAGCGGUGGAUUAUGUGGAUUAAUUCGAUGCAACGCGAAAACCUUACCUGGCCUUGACAUGUAACGAACUUUCCAGAGAUGGAUUGGUGCUCGAAAGAGAACGUUAACACAGGUGCUGCAUGGCUGUCGUCAGCUCGUGUCGUGAGAUGUUGGGUUAAGUCCCGCAACGAGCGCAACCCUUGCCAUUAAUUGCCAUCAUUUA
rnacentral:rRNA from 1 species